GGGUUGUUAGCUCAGUUGGCAGAGCAGUAGACUCUUAAUCUAUUGGUCGUGGGUUCGAACCCCACACAACCCACCA
rnacentral:tRNA from 6 species